UGUGUGGUCCUUAACCAUAUCUCUGACGCCAUAUAACCGUAAAUAAAAUGUGUUGAGUGCGUCGUUAAAUAAAACAUUUCUUUCUUUCUUUUUUUUCAUGUUGGUAUCCACUUAAGUUCAAAGACGUUGUUCUUGGGACAAAACAAUUAUCUGGGUUGUCUGUCCAGAUCAGGGGUUAAUAGUUAGUUGUUAAUGAUAAUGAAGUUGGUGUAGUGGUCUUAUGCCUCGUUCGUAAGCUAUUAAAACUCGGCUCUCGGUAGGAGUCAGUACUGGGAUACGAACCAAGCGCCUGCCAGUCUUAAAGUCGCAGACACUAGUUUGAAAGCGUGAAAAUUGAUACUAAAUAUGCAAACCUGUAACACAUCUGGAUAAAGUUUCAAUAGAGUGAAACAAGAGUUUGUGACGUUGCAUUGAGGAAAUUCCCUCUGAAAAUAGACUAGGCCUAGUCUCCAUAACCGUUGCUUCCCAGAGGUAGGUGAGUUUUUAGAAUGAUGAAAAAUGCAUUUCGUGACAUUAUAAACACCAGGAUGACUAUAAACAUGUACGGAAAUGGAUAGCCUAAAUAAUAACAUAUAAGUAAUGUCUGACUGCAAUGAUCAAAAACGGUUUUUGACAUUGAAAAAUGCGCCGUAGUGUUUAAAAACUUGGUUCCGUCACUUGGUGAUGGUUAACUGAAUCAAUUUGCCGAGGUCUCUUAACUUAUAUGUCCUGAUGAUGAUACUUCUCUGAAACGUAAGGAUCAAGAAGCUUAUGUAAACCAAAGCCCACUGAUAAAGCUAAAUGAUUUUGAAAAGCGCUAUAGAAAGGACACGAACGAAAUGACGACUGGAAGAGCCUGGGUGAAAGACAACUGUUCCAAACAGUGCCUGAAGACAACUCUGUUUAAAACCUUUCCAUUCCUGACGAUCAUGCGAGGAUACUCGCUGUUACGAGAUCUACCCAAUGACGUCAUCGCUGGUGUCACAGUCGGAAUUAUGCAAAUACCACAAGGUACUACAGCUGUUGUGAGUCUCAUGCUGGGAUCUCUUCUGGAUUCUGCAUUUCCAUCUGAUGGUCUCGGGGGUACACUAGAUAAUACUGGGUUUUCAGAGACAUGCGGAAAAUAGAACUUGUGACUGCACUCACUCUAGUGUCAGGGUUAAUAAUGAUUCACUCCUUUAGAGACAAGUUUUGUGAGCUCGGCAACAGAAUCGUUGUCUAUAGCACUGAAAAGCUGUUUCUGACUCAUUGUGUACCAUGCGUCUUCCAGGAAUCAUUGGCACCAGGGUAACACAUUUACACAAUAGGAACCAUUAAAAAAAAAAUUAAUGUAUUAUUAUAGUCAGGUACAUGGCGUGGGUUUUAUUGAAAUCGUAUAUCUGCACAAGACGGGUUCAAAGGGAAGUUUUCGGCAAAGUCGUGAUUGCUUUAAUGAUCCACUAUUAAGUUAUCGUUAUUUUGAGGACCGCCACUCACCUUGGAGAUCUAUAAUAGGAUGUUUCAUACCUCCUGUAGGAGGACUGCCACUCCCAAAAUCUAGCUUAGAAAACCCAAACUUGCAAAAGCAAAAAAACAGUGAUGAUAUCAGAUAUAAAUAGUCCA